rnacentral:rRNA from 1 species
AAGGUAGCAUAAUCAAUAGUUUUUUAAUUGAAAGCUUGUAUGAAAGGUUGAAUGAAAAAAUAACUGUCUCUAUUUAAUUUUGUUAGAAUUUUAUUUUUAAGUAAAAAAGCUUAAAUUUUUAUGGAAGACGAGAAGACCCUAUAGAGUUUUAUAUAUGUAAUUAAUAUAUGAGUUAGAAAUAUAAAAAUUAUUAUUUAUUAUGUAUUUUGUUGGGGUGAUAAAAAAAUUAAAUAAACUUUUUUUUUAUAAAUACAAUUAUUUUUGGAUAUUUGAUCCUUUUUUAAAGACAAAAAGAAAAAAAUAC